rnacentral:lncRNA from 1 species
AGAAUAUAGUACUAUAUUGAAAAUAUGGUAAAAUGGGUCUGGAGAAGAAACUGAGCACCCAGGAAUGGUAGGGAGAAGAGACAGUGUGUGUGUGACAUGAAGUUUGUAUAUGUUGUAGUCAGAUCAGUGGGAUUGUGAUUCAGGCAUAUAGUCCAUGUCGUCAGGGACACCUGAAUACACAUCACUUAGGAAAUCUUAGCUGUAAGUAUCAAAAACCUCACUCAAUAGGUUUAAAUAAUGAUACUUAUGAGAAGUCAGGGUUGUCUAAUUCAGUAGUUCAGCAAUGCUAUCAAAGACCGGUUCUUUCUUUCUGCUCUGUCCUCAGGCUUCCCCUCGUAGUCAAAAUGUGGCUGCAGAAGUUCCAGACAGUAUAACAACCAGCAGAGACAGAGCCAGGAAAGCAUUUGCAGGAGCUCCCCCAGCAAGUCUCCUCUCAUAUCUCAUAAUGGGACAUCCCAACUUGUUCACUGGCAAGGGGCCUGCUUUUGUUUUGAAUGGAUGAGUCUUCUGAUCUGGGGAUAAGCUUACUACCCUGAGUGGUGAACAACAUUGGAGUCCUGCUAGAUGGGAGGAAGGGAUCAAUGGAUAUUGCUCAUCAGGCAGAGUGUCUACCUCAAAGCUGGAUGCAGACCACAGGCUGAAAGUUGAGUGCCAAAGUCUUUUCUAGCUGGAGACUCCAUAGUGAAUUUCUCAAAGUCAAAGCAAAGAACCUUUUCCUCUGUUCUACCAGCAGGUUGUGCUUUGACCACAGCUGCCCUUUGGGAGGCUGGCACAGAGCCACAGCUAGAUCUUCAGGCUGCUUGUCAAGGGUGGGGCAGCAGGACAUGCCACUCUUCCUCCAUGAGCCCAUCCAGGGCCUCCACUGGGCACUUGGCACUGCCACGUCUUCCUAAGGAGAGAGCUGGGGAAGGAACCCGAGGGAGCCAGACUCCAGAGCCCUGGGACCCAGACAGAGCUCCAGGAAGGUUCAGGCAAGUAUUCUGUCUCUUCUCCCCUCAGAUGUGUAGAUGGACAUGAGGUGAGAUUGUGGUGAGACUCCGAGGUUGCUAGAUGUGGGGUUUGCUGGGAGUAGCCACCUGCAAGAAGACUGAGCCAGACAAACAAAUGUUCUGAAAGAGGAUGAGGAAAAUAAUAUCUCUUCUAGGGGUCUCUGAUUUUUCUGUAGUGUUUCCUUCCUUUCAAAACCCUGUCAACCCUCCAAAGUGGACCCCAACACCACCCGGAUCUCCUGUGUUUUGUUGUCAGAUUCACUGAGAGCUGCAGAGUAGGCUCAUGUCCCUCCAGGGUCUGCCUUUUUAACCAGGAAGAGAGAGCUGUUGAGAAAUUGAUGGGGAGACUCAGACCAAGGGCACCAGAUAAUGAAUGUGAAUGAGAGUGGGUGCCUGCAAUGUGCAGGAGGCUUAGAUUCCAUGCCAGGAGCAGUGGUGACAGCUUCUAGAAAUUGUCCAACAGCCUGGCAUUCUAAAGAAUGUCCUGCAGAACUGGGAAACCUGUUCUUCCACACACACAUUUCAGGAGCAGUUAAAAUGAGAUGCAAUUGAAGGUUGAACCCGGCUGGAGCCCAGUGGGAUGUAGUUCAGAGUGACACCUGUGGCAUUCACUGGCAGGGCUGGGAAGGGGGGUGUAAGAUGAUGCUUAUUUGUCUAUUAUGAUAAGUGUUGUUACAUUUUAUGUGUCUUUCUUGAAUCUUCAAGAAGACUUUCAAUUCCUUUAGGGCAGCAAUAGAAUAUUUUAUGUAUCUUAUAUUCUUUAUAAGGUCAGCAUUAAAUUACUGUUUAUUGGGUGAUUUUUGGAUAUAUUUCUAUAAAAUGAAACUUGAUCAUUCAAGGUCCUAGAAACUUGAUCAUCAAGGUCCUUGAUCAUUCAUUCAUUUGGGCAGAGUUGUCAUCAAUAUCUGUUAAGC